rnacentral:misc_RNA from 1 species
CAUGUUACUUGUUAGUAUGUUGUAUUUGUAGAAGGAAUAAAAAUAAAAAAAAAGAAGAAGAAAGGCAAAGAGUAGAAACAUAAUAAAUUAAUAACUAAGGGGAUUGUGUUCCUUCUUGGAAUCUAUUUAUAAAACCGGCGAGAAAAAUGUGGAGCAAUGGGAAUGGAUUCGUACAAACCGUGUUUAGUCAGAUAUCUUUUGAGAAGAAUCCCAAAAUCUGGGCGAAUCCUGACCCAAGUCUUGACUCUGAUCGAAUUUUAUUCCUGAGUGACCUGUCUGAAACGUGUUUUCGGAAAUAUCUUCGAAAGGAGCAUCUUAAAAAGAAUGCCAAGCUUAGUGGAGCCUUCCGAGAGAAAGGGAACUGCCUUUACAAGAAUGGGGACUUUAAUGCAAGCCUGAGCGUGUAUAACCAAGCCCUCUGUCUCGCUCCAAAAUCCGAGGAUGUGUAUCCGAUCACACUUGCGAAUCGAUCUGCCGUGUGGUAUGCCUUACAAAAGUACGAAAAUUCCAUUGCUGAUAUCACUCGCUCUCUCGCUUCCUCAUAUCCCCAAGAACUCCGAUUCAAACUCCUGGAGAGAAAAGCGAAAUGCCAAAUGGCGCUCAAAUGGAAAAAAUGCUCCGAGGAAACUAUUGAGGAAUUUGUGGACUGCGUCAAAGAGUCUGACAUUAAUUCUGCCCUCAAGGAUAAAAAAAUAUCCGCAAUUAAAGCUGAAUUUGAAAAGAUAGUGAAUGAAAAUGGAGAAAAUGGAGAGGAGAAUAGUAGUAGCAAUGGGAAUUCCAACUGCAAUAAUACAAUUAAUAUAACUCAUACUGAUAGCAAUAAGGAUAACUCCAAGAGUGAUACUAUUAGUGUAAAGGGUUUAGAAUCUCAAGACAGCCCUUCCUCAUUCAAACUUGGAUUUGCAGACUCCGUCAGUAUUGGUCACUCUCCAACACAAGGACGCUUCACCUACGCCAAUCGGGAUAUCAAUCCAGGGGAAAUCAUUGCCGUCGACGAGCCCUAUGUUAAACAAUUAGACAAAGAACAUAUCAAAACACAUUGUUGGCACUGUUUAGGAAGAGCUCCCUUACCAAUACCCUGUGACAAUUGCUCUGGAGUUAUGUUUUGCUCCGACGUUUGCCUUAGACUCUCCAGCACUUCUUACCACAAGUAUGAGUGUGGAAUUACUGACAUUAUACAAAAUGGAGGUGUAGGAACAUGGAUUUUGGCAUACCGAGCUAUUUCAUCUCGCCCGUUUUCGUUCUGGCAAAAUUUAGACAUGAAAAAUAGUGAAGAAGGAGGAGAGGAUAGUGAGGAUCCUUUUUAUAGAUACAAUGUACUAGAAACCCAUGAGAACUCUCGUAGAUUUGUAGUCCCAGCUCUCAUGAAAGAGGCUCUCACCGUUGUGUUUUUUAUUCGUUGCCUAAAUCGCCGUGGCUACUUUCCAGAAUCCAAGAACUAUGAUGAUCCUGAUUGUGAUCCAACCUUAUAUCCUGUUGAACUUAUGUUGGCUAAUAAACUUCGAAAGUUUAUCAAAAUAGCAAGUUUCAAUAGUCAUGAAGUAACCGAAGUCAUUGUUCGUAGAAAGGGAAAUGAAGAUAAUGUUGGUGCUCGAAGAGUGGGAACUGCAAUCAAUCCUUACCUCGCUCUUAUCAAUCACUCCUGUGAUCCUAACCACGGUCGAGUUUGGAACUCUAAUAAAGGUACUAUCACAGCAUUUGCUACUCGUUUAAUUCGAGAGGGCGAAGAAAUUGUUGAUGGAUACAGUGCAACUUUUUCUAAUAGAGGGAAAAAAGAUCGGCAUUUUGUACACGAUAGAUACAAUUUUACUUGUACAUGUAGAGCCUGUAGAGAGGACUGGCCAUUACUACCUCAAUUAGAGAAAGAAAUAAAAGUCAAGACCAAGCCUGGAAAAGUAAAAAAGCUUAAAUUAUUGUACAAAAAUAUCGAAACAAAUCCAUCCAUUGAAAACUGCUCUGCCUUCAUGAAAUUAGCUACCGAUGUUAUACAGCCCCCUCAUGCUCUCCUAGUCGUCGUUGAAGAUAAAUUGCAAAGAUGUCUCCUUAAAAAGUAUGGUGCCUGAAUUUAAAUCAAUUUUGAAGAAAGGAAAUUAAAUACAUAGUUACUUUUAACAGGGAAAUUGAAGCAUGAAACUCAACAUUGUUCGUUUAGUAAAUAUUACAUAUAAAUCCUGUGACAUGUUUUAUCAAUUUAUAUGGAUUACGUAUACCCAUCAACAUCUUAAAUCAUCUAUCUCUGCAUCUCUUCCAUUUUUGCAGCUUCAUUAACAGUUUAACAAUGUAAUAUGCAGAUUAACAUUGUUUGUUUGUUAAUUUGAUAUAUAAUUUAUUUCUUGUGUAGUUUAUUCAUUUCUUUUACUUCCUCGUAUGUAUAAUGAAUAAUAAUGCUAUGAUAAUUUAAAUUAUAAUACAUAUACUAAUAGUAUGAUAUUUAGUCACAUUUUUCUUGAUUUGGGACACAUCGUGAGGAGGAAAAAAUACUAUCCAUUUGCCAAUAUUAAUUCUUAAUAUAUGCCUUCUUCUAAUGAUUAAGGUCAACUCCAUUUCAGGGAGUACAUACAUGAUUAUAAAUUAUAUAGCAUACAUUGGUUGAUACUUAUACAAAUCAAAUAAUACGAGAUACUAAUUCGAAUAUCGUUAUUAUCACACAGGAUAUAACAUCUAGUAACUUAGCUAGAUGGCUUUUGAUUCAAUUGGUAGUUUGUACAGAUAUACAUUAUAGACACUAGAGAUGGAGCAUCUUAUUCAUUAUUAUUUAUAUAAUGAUUAAUGUCUCUGAUUGUCGUUCCCUGUAACAUAUGUGUUCGAUCCAGAAAGUUUGAACCGUUGUAUAUAACCAGCUGAUAGAGUGAGGUUGAGUGAUAUUAGGAUGUGCGCAAGCCAACAGUUGACUAUUCACUAUUCGAUCAGUCCUUUUCCUUCUUGUAGGGGGUUAUCAUUUGUGCUGUUCAAGAGGAACUAAAUUGGAAUGAUUAUGGCGUCCAGGGGACUGUGGGCCAUGAGUGUUCUCCGUAAAGGAGCCCCAUUUGCAUGGAAGAAAGCCCCUUACUCCGGAAUUCGGUUAGGUUCUACCUCCUUCAAGGAGAGUCUCCUCAAUGUACCUCCCACACAAGUAACAACAUUGGAAAAUGGUAUGCGUGUUGCAACUGAGGAUAGUGGAGCUGCCACUGCUACUGUGGGUAUCUGGGUUGACACUGGCUCUCGCUAUGAAACAGCUGAGAAUAACGGAGUUGCUCAUUUUCUUGAACAUAUGGCA